GACGAACCGUGCGAACGUUAUUCGGAAUCACUGGGCUUAAAGCGCGUGUAGGCGGGCGGGUACGUCGGCGACUGAAAGCCCCCGGCUCAACCGGGGAAGUGGUGCCGAAACGGCCGGCCUGGAGGGGCGUAGGGGGACCUGGAACUUCCGGUGGAGCGGUGAAAUGCGUUGAGAUCGGAAGGAACGCCCGUGGCGAAAGCGAGGUCCUGGACGCCAACUGACGCUGAGACGCGAAAGCCAGGGGAGCGAACGGG
rnacentral:rRNA from 1 species